rnacentral:rRNA from 1 species
UACAGAGGGUGCGAGCGUUAAUCGGAAUUACUGGGCGUAAAGCGUGCGCAGGCGGUGAUGUAAGACAGUUGUGAAAUCCCCGGGCUCAACCUGGGAACUGCAUCUGUGACUGCAUCGCUGGAGUGCGGCAGAGGGGGAUGGAAUUCCACGUGUAGCGGUGAAAUGCGUAGAGAUGUGGAGGAACACCGAUGGCGAAGGCAGCCUCCUGGGCCAAUACUGACGCUCAUGCACGAAAGCGUGGGGAGCAAACAGG